rnacentral:tRNA from 1 species
GGGCGAGUGGCGGAAUUGGUAUACGCGACGGACUUAAAAUCCGUUGGUUGAAUAAACCUUGAGGGUUCGAGUCCCUCCUUGCCCACCA